rnacentral:rRNA from 1 species
AUGGCGUCUUCAAGUGCCCCUAAGGACAAGUUCUUCGAGAAGGUCAUCAACCCCUACCUUGCGGAGGUGCUCCAACACCCUCAAACCAUUGAGAUGCGUGAGGGGUUGCUGCACAUCCGCGAUGUUGAGGGACCAAGGAGGACCAGAAGCGUGGAGACAAGGCUCGAGGCAAUGGAGAAACAAGUUUUCAAGUGCCAGGAGAUGGUGGAACGUGGACUCGACUCCAAUCAUAUAAUGAUCAUGGAGUUCACCAACAACCACAAGCUGGAUGACAAGAACAUUGGGGAGGCCAUCUUCAAACUUCACGAGAAAAUUGAGCGCCUCCAAGCCCAGAUCUAUAACCCGCAAAACCAAAACUGUGAGUAUGAAUAUAGAUUCAAGAGGAUGAGUUUGGCUGCAGAUUUGAGGAUCCCGGAGACUCGAUCAUGCUUCUAUGGUGGUGAACCUAUGCCAUGGAAGAUGGACGACAAGCCCACAUCAUCAACAACUCCAUCAUCACCACCUCCGAGGAAGGAUAUAUAA